CAGUCGCCGCGGUAAUACGUAGGUGGCAAGCGUUGUCCGGAAUUACUGGGUGUAAAGGGAGCGUAGACGGUUAAACAGGUCUGAAGUGAAAUGCCGGGGCUCAACCCCGGAGCUGCUUUGGGAACUGUAGAACUGGAGUGUCGGAGGGGUAAGCGGAAUUCCCAGUGUAGCGGUGAAAUGCGUAGAUAUUGGGAGGAACACCGGCGGCGAAGGCGGCUUACUGGACGACAACUGACGUUGAGGCUCGAAGGCGUGGGUAGCAAACAGGAUUAGAUACCCCGGUAGUCCCUGUCUCUUAUAC
rnacentral:rRNA from 1 species